ACAAAUAUAAAGAUUGCAAGGACCUCUAUGUAAAUGGUAAUACAGAAUCUGGUGUGUAUGAGAUCUAUCCAUUUGGUAAUAACAGCAAGGUCAGCGUCUUCUGUGACAUGAUGACAGAGGGUGGAGGGUGGACAGUAAGAUCUCUCUCUCUCUCUCCCUUUCUCUCUCUCUUCAGCUCCACCAUCAAUUAUAAUUACUCCUUCUUUAACAAUUUAUUAAUCUUUGAUUUUAACGCUGAUAUCAAACCUUUUCGCUGAAUGAACAUUAAAUGGUUGUUCUAGUUUAUUUUACAGGAAGAUAAUGAAAUUCCAAAAUAAAUAUUUUUUAAUUACAAAGUAGAAAAAAAAUAUAUAAUAUAGCAAAACUCCUUUAGUACGAACACGGAUAUUGCGAAUUUACGGAUGUAGCGUAGUCAUCUUGGAUCUCCAACUAUAUAAAUUUAAUGAAUUUCUUAUACGGUUAUAACGAAUUACGGAUAUAGCGAAGUAAUUCCUGUGUCAUAGGUUCCUGUGACUUCGUUAUAACCGAGUUUUACUGUAUUAUCAAUUUGAUAACAAAGAUUUUUUUCUACUUUAAAUACUAGUAGUUGAAGGGAUUAAUGUAAUACGCAAGUUUUGAGAUUAUGAUGAAUUUGAAAGAAAUUGGCAGGGAAUAGUUGAUAUACUUUAAAUUUUUUUUUACUGUUACUUAUUCAAGAAAGUGUGUGCCCCACAUCUUUCUCUCUAACAUCUCGUUUCUCAAUCUUCCUCUCCUUCUCUUUCUCUCUACAUAAACGUUGACACUAGCUUUUAUUACUUUUUUUGUUGUUGCUUUAUUUCAAACUGUCUUGUAUAUUUAUUUACAUAUACGUCUGUUUUUAUAUUUGUAUAAUUUGUGUGAAAGUAAAAAUAAACUAUCCCCCAAAAAAUAAUAAAUAAAUAAAAAUAACCUCCUUUUCUUCAUAAAAACUCAGGCUUUACAGAAACGUGUCAGUGGUUCGGUGUCAUUCGACAGAACGUGGUCCGACUACAAGACGGGAUUCGGGCAUCCUAGCGGAUCCUACUGGAUAGGAAAUGACGUUAUACAUCAACUUACUAAGAGAAGCAACACCUCCCUCUACGUCACCCUGACACUGACCAAUGGCACAAAGCUCUAUGAAUUAUACAGCCAGUUCUCUGUUGCUGACGAAACCAACAAAUACCGACUUUUUCUUGGCGGACCAGCUACUGGGACCCUGGGAGACAGCAUGACAAGCGGCCACGAUCUGUCUGGAAUGCCAUUCACCACCAAGGACAGAGAUAACGAC